rnacentral:tRNA from 1 species
UGGGUUAUCCGGAACUUGAACCCGGAACCCGUUGG